UACGUAGGGUGCGAGCGUUGUCCGGAAUUAUUGGGCGUAAAGAGCUCGUAGGCGGUUUGUCGCGUCGACUGUGAAAACCUACAGCUUAACUGUGGGCUUGCAGUCGAUACGGGCAGACUUGAGUUCGGUAGGGGAGACUGGAAUUCCUGGUGUAGCGGUGAAAUGCGCAGAUAUUAGGAGGAACACCGGUGGCGAAGGCGGCUUCUGGACCGUAACUGACGCUGAGACACGAAAGCGUGGGUAGCAAACAGG
rnacentral:rRNA from 1 species